CCUACGGGAGGCAGCAGUGGGGAAUAUUGCACAAUGGGCGCAAGCCUGAUGCAGCAACGCCGCGUGAGGGACGACGGCCUUCGGGUUGUAAACCUCUUUUAGUAGGGAAGAAGCGAAAGUGACGGUACCUGCAGAAAAAGCACCGGCUAACUACGUGCCAGCAGCCGCGGUAAUACGUAGGGUGCAAGCGUUGUCCGGAAUUAUUGGGCGUAAAGAGCUCGUAGGCGGUUUGUCGCGUCUGCUGUGAAAACCCCGAGGCUCAACCUCGGGCCUGCAGUGGGUACGGGCAGACUAGAGUGCGGUAGGGGAGAUUGGAAUUCCUGGUGUAGCGGUGGAAUGCGCAGAUAUCAGGAGGAACACCGAUGGCGAAGGCAGAUCUCUGGGCCGUAACUGACGCUGAGGAGCGAAAGCAUGGGGAGCGAACAGGAUUAGAUACCCUGGUAGUCCAUGCCGUAAACGUUGGGAACUAGAUGUAGGGACCAUUCCACGGUUUCUGUGUCGCAGCUAACGCAUUAAGUUCCCCGCCUGGGGAUACGGCCGCAAGGCUAAAACUCAAAAUGAAAUUGACCCGGNNGAGACGUGCGACGGACGACGACGAGGGAGAGG
rnacentral:rRNA from 1 species